UGACGUUUGUCAGUGUUCAGCGCAAAUAGGUCAUAGGGACAGGGAAGAGAUUAUGAGGGUUUUAAUAAAAAAAUAAGAUGAAGCUUCUUGUAAAGGGUGAGUUUGUGAGGCUCCAACCAUCACAUGAGGUUUCUUCUUUUUUUCUCUCUCUCUAAUCAGAAGGAAGUAGCCUGUUAGUGCUGUAGCUAUCAGGGGUGUGUAUCUGGUCUGUGUGUAUAAUAUGUUUCCACAUCUAUAAUUUAAUUCAUUGCUGUUAAAAUAAAUUCUGUAAUUAUUAAAAGUUUAUUUUACUGUUAAACAUUUUAUACUUGCCAGUAAAACAUGCAGAGGCGAAGAUGCAUAAAUCCAAAGGAAGAUACCAAAUAUUAUAUUGAUACCAGAAAGGACAGAGUGGGUCUUGACGUCAAGUACAUCAAUGCCUUUAAAGGCCGUGGUAUUUUUGCCACAACCUCUUUUCAGAAAGGAGACUUUCUGUUGGAGUAUCGAGGUGAACUAAUCAGUAAAGAGGAAUGUGAGAGGAGACGAAGAGUUUACCAUGACAACCUUAAAGUGUUCAUGUUUGAAUUUGUCUUUAAUGGAAAACUUUGGUGGUGAGUAUGUUUGAAUCAUAAGUCUAUUUAGAAUUAAAGGACAUAUGUCAACAUGCUAAACAUGAUGGAUGCCAGACUCUUGGGAAGUAUACCAUCUAUACUGCUGGAUAUUAAAUAAUUCCUAAUGUUAUGUAUUUGUAGUGUUGAUGCAGCAAAAGAAGAUGGCUCUCUUGGAAGGCUUGUAAAUAAUUACCAUAUCAGCCCAGAUGCCAAAAUGAAGUGCCUGACUGUGCAAGGGAAGCCACAUUUGUGUUUGUUUGCAACUCAAGAAAUUAAUAAGGGAGAAGAGAUUACCUAUAAUUAUGGAGACUCAGACUGGCCAUGGAGUUACAAGGUACUAAAAAAAUGAAUAAAUCUAAUCAAAAUGCUUAAACAAGACAUGAUUUAAUAAUAAGAUUUUACAACUAUACAACUUUAUACUCUCAACCCAUCUUUAUGUUAAAAAAUUCAAUACCGCAUCCACAUCACAGUUGGCUUGAGAUUAUGAAAUGGUAUCAAACAGACCAAAUGAAAGUGUGUAAAAACAUUUCUUCUUAAAAGCUUUAAUGACAAGAUCCUGACACAAGUCAAGAAAACUAUAAUUUAAAAUAUCUCAAUGAUUAGGUCAAGCUAAGUAUGGUGUUGACUUGUAUUCAUUAUCUGUUUCAGGUCAAAGCUGAAAAUGCCCCAGAACAGAUGGAAGACAGCAUCCCAAAUGAAACAGAUCCUGUGAUUGCUGUACUCCCCAACAAUGCAGAGAGAACUCAUGAGGCACAGCCAGAAGACAACCAAAAAAACCACGGUCAAGUGCUGAGGUUUCUGCUGUUAUUUAAAGG